GGGGAGAGGCCGGAUCCUGGGCUGUGUCCCGGUGCCCUGUGCUCUGGAGCCUGCGCUGGUGGAUUCGCGCUCCCGCCCCGCAGCCCGCU
rnacentral:pre_miRNA from 1 species